UGGGGAAUAUUGCACAAUGGGCGCAAGCCUGAUGCAGCCAUGCCGCGUGUAUGAAGAAGGCCUUCGGGUUGUAAAGUACUUUCAGUCGGGAGGAAGGCGUUAAGGUUAAUAACCUUGGCGAUUGACGUUACCCGCAGAAGAAGCACCGGCUAACUCCGUGCCAGCAGCCGCGGUAAUACGGAGGGUGCAAGCGUUAAUCGGAAUUACUGGGCGUAAAGCGCACGCAGGCGGUCUGUCAAGUCGGAUGUGAAAUCCCCGGGCUCAACCUGGGAACUGCAUUCGAAACUGGCAGGCUAGAGUCUUGUAGAGGGGGGUAGAAUUCCAGGUGUAGCGGUGAAAUGCGUAGAGAUCUGGAGGAAUACCGGUGGCGAAGGCGGCCCCCUGGACGAAGACUGACGCUCAGGUGCGAAAGCGUGGGGAGCAAACAGG
rnacentral:rRNA from 1 species